UACGUAGGGGGCAAGCGUUGUCCGGAUUCAUUGGGCGUAAAGAGCGUGUAGGCGGCCAGGUAGGUCGGUUGUGAAAACUGGAGGCUCAACCUUCAGAGGUCGACCGAAACCAUCUGGCUAGAGUUCGGUAGGGGAGACUGGAAUUCCUGGUGUAGCGGUGAAAUGCGCAGAUAUCAGGAGGAACACCGGUGGCGAAGGCGGGUCUCUGGGCCGAUACUGACGCUGAGGAGCGAAAGCGUGGGGAGCGAACAGG
rnacentral:rRNA from 1 species